UACGUAGGGUGCGAGCGUUAAUCGGAAUUACUGGGCGUAAAGCGUGCGCAGGCGGUUUUGUAAGUCAGAUGUGAAAUCCCCGGGCUCAACCCGGGAACUGCGUCCGAUACUGGGAGGCUUGAAUCCGGGAGAGGGAUGUGGAAUUCCAGGUGUAGCGGUGAAAUGCGUAGAUAUCUGGAGGAACACCGGUGGCGAAGGCGGCAUCCUGGACCGGUAUUGACGCUGAGGCGCGAAAGCCAGGGGAGCAAACGGG
rnacentral:rRNA from 1 species